UUGCUUCAGCAGCACGUAUACUAAAAUUGAAGCAAUAUGGAGAAGACUAGCAUGGCCCCUGCACAAGGAUGACAUGCAGAUUCAUGGAGUGUUCCUUAUUUUU